AUUCAGGGAUACUGGGACUUGC
rnacentral:siRNA from 1 species